rnacentral:rRNA from 1 species
AUACAGGGGGAUAACAGUUAGAAAUGACUGCUAAUACCGCAUAAGACCACAGGAUUGCAUGAUCCGGUGGUAAAAACUCCGGUGGUAUGAGAUGGACCCGCGUCUGAUUAGGUAGUUGGUGGGGUAACGGCUCACCAAGCCGACGAUCAGUAGCCGACCUGAGAGGGUGACCGGCCACAUUGGGACUGAGACACGGCCCAAACUCCUACGGGAGGCAGCAGUGGGGAAUAUUGCACAAUGGGGGAAACCCUGAUGCAGCGACGCCGCGUGAGCGAUGAAGUAUUUCGGUAUGUAAAGCUCUAUCAGCAGGGAAGAAAAUGACGGUACCUGACUAAGAAGCACCGGCUAAAUACGUGCCAGCAGCCGCGGUAAUACGUAUGGUGCAAGCGUUAUCCGGAUUUACUGGGGGUAAAGGGAGCGUAGACGGAGAGGCAAGUCUGAUGUGAAAACCCGGGGCUCAACCCCGGGACUGCAUUGGAAACUGUUUUUCUAGAGUGUCGGAGAGGUAAGUGGAAUUCCUAGUGUAGCGGUGAAAUGCGUAGAUAUUAGGAGGAACACCAGUGGCGAAGGCGGCUUACUGGACGAUGACUGACGUUGAGGCUCGAAAGCGUGGGGAGCAAACAGAAUUAGAUACCGUGGUAGUCCCCGCCGUAAACGAUGACUGCUAGGUGUCGGGAGGCAAAGCCUUUCGGUGCCGCAGCAAACGCAAUAAGCAGUCCACCUGGGGAGUACGUUCGCAAGAAUGAAACUCAAAGGAAUUGACGGGGACCCGCACAAGCGGUGGAGCAUGUGGUUUAAUUCGAAGCAACGCGAAGAACCUUACCUGCCCUUGACAUCCGGCUGACUGGCGAGUAAUGUCGCCUUUCCUUCGGGACAGCCGAGACAGGUGGUGCAUGGUUGUCGUCAGCUCGUGUCGUGAGAUGUUGGGUUAAGUCCCGCAACGAGCGCAACCCUUAUCUUUAGUAGCCAGCAUUUCGGAUGGGCACUCUAGAGAGACUGCCAGGGAUAACCUGGAGGAAGGUGGGGAUGACGUCAAAUCAUCAUGCCCCUUAUGGGCAGGGCUACACACGUGCUACAAUGGCGUAAACAAAGGGAGGCAAGCCUGCGAGGGUGAGCAAAUCCCAAAAAUAACGUCUCAGUUCGGAUUGUAGUCUGCAACUCGACUACAUGAAGCUGGAAUCGCUAGUAAUCGCGAAUCAGAAUGUCGCGGUGAAUACGUUCCCGGGUCUUGCACA